GUGACUGGGAAAGCUUGCCCAAAAGGGCUGUACGGAGAAUUUUGCAAGGAAUGUCCAGCUGGCACUUAUAAGAAUGUUACUGGAUCUGAUAGAGCUCUUUGCCAGUCCCUGCCCUCUCAAUGACCUUCCCCAUCGAGCUAUUUAUAUUGCUGUCCGAGGUGGUAUUGCUGAAACACCAUGUCCCUACAAAUGCAUCUCAGACAGAUUUCACAUGCCACAUUGUUAUACAGCGCUUGAAGAGUUGAUUUACACUUUUGGUGGUCCAUGGUUAUUUUGUCUUCUUCUUGUGGGGCUUCUCAUUCUCUUAGCCCUGGUACUUAGUGUUGCGCGGAUGAAAUUUGUUGGUGUUGAGGAAUUACCAGGCCCUGCACCCACUCAACAUGGCUCUCAAUCUGAUCACUCAUUCCCUUUCUUGGAGUCGUUGAAUGAGGUUUUGGAAACAAAUAGAGCUGAGGAGUCUCAGAGCCA
rnacentral:misc_RNA from 1 species